GGCAGUGGGAAUUUUUGGAGGAGAAAACGAGGAGGGAUAAGGAGAUUUGAAGAAGUUGAACAGAGGUCGGUGUGGAUCUUGCUGUGCGAAAAUCCUCAAGGGCUGAAGACUGGUGCUUGUAAC